rnacentral:rRNA from 1 species
GGCUCAGGAUGAACGCUGGCGGCGUGCCUAAUACAUGCAAGUCGAGCGAACAGAUAAGGAGCUUGCUCCUUUGACGUUAGCGGCGGACGGGUGAGUAACACGUGGGUAACCUACCUAUAAGACUGGAAUAACUCCGGGAAACCGGGGCUAAUGCCGGAUAACAUGUUGAACCGCAUGGUUCUACAGUGAAAGACGGUCUUGCUGUCACUUAUAGAUGGACCCGCGCCGUAUUAGCUAGUUGGUGGGGUAACGGCCUACCAAGGCGACGAUACGUAGCCGACCUGAGAGGGUGAUCGGCCACACUGGAACUGAGACACGGUCCAGACUCCUACGGGAGGCAGCAGUAGGGAAUCUUCCGCAAUGGGCGAAAGCCUGACGGAGCAACGCCGCGUGAGUGAUGAAGGUCUUCGGAUCGUAAAGCUCUGUUGUUAGGGAAGAACAAA